UCCCAGACUCCUACGGGAGGCAGCAGUGGGGAAUAUUGCACAAUGGGGGAAACCCUGAUGCAGCGACGCCGCGUGAAGGAAGAAGUAUUUCGGUAUGUAAACUUCUAUCAGCAGGGAAGAAAAUGACGGUACCUGACUAAGAAGCCCCGGCUAACUACGUGCCAGCAGCCGCGGUAAUACGUAGGGGGCGAGCGUUAUCCGGAUUCACUGGGUGUAAAGGGAGCGUAGACGGCCAUGCAAGCCAGGGGUGAAAGCCCGGGGCCCAACCCCGGGACUGCUCUUGGAACUGCGUGGCUAGAGUGCAGGAGGGGCAGGCGGAAUUCCUGGUGUAGCGGUGAAAUGCGUAGAUAUCAGGAGGAACACCGGUGGCGAAGGCGGCCUGCUGGACUGCAACUGACGUUGAGGCCCGAAAGCGUGGGGAGCAAACAGGAUUAGAUACCCCAGUAGU
rnacentral:rRNA from 1 species